rnacentral:lncRNA from 1 species
GCGGAAUAAGAAAUCAACAAUCGAAAACAAAAUAAAUCAAUCAGAUGGAGAUGGGAGAAUAGAAGACCUAUUAAAUGAACAACAGUAAACAAAGGGCUGGGUCUUUGGUUGCACUGCCGGCUUUCUACGAUGGGACAUGCAAGCCCGAGUGAGGAACCGCGGAGGGAAAAAGAGAAGGAAAACAACAGAUGGCAACGUUCUUCAUCAAAUGGAAGACACGUUAGGUCUUCGUGGAAGAAGACGAAAACGAAGACGACACCACAUCACCAACUAUCCAAAUAAACAAAGGCAAGGGCAGAACAGUCUAUUCAGGCGAACAAUGUCAGUUUUGUAAAUAAAACGCGUUAAGGGGUAGCACCGUCCAUUCACCACAGAAAUGAACAGUGCUACUGCCUUAACGCUAUUAUAUAGAGAGUAAGUACACAUGCAACCAAAUUUGUACACCAAUUGACAUACCCAGCGUAUAUACAAAAACCAAUUGCCCAAAAGCGGAAAAUUUUGUCAGAGCAAAGAUCAAUCUGUACCAGAUCACAUCAAUGGAUUUCUAUUCAGCUCUAAUAUAAAAAUGUUCUCUUGUUUGACAUAUCAAAUUCUUGAGAAAUCUGGUUGAAAGGACGGAAUAAAGAAGAAGAAAGAAGCUCAAAUACCUGAGUUUUAGAUUCUCCCGCAAUCGUUGUUUCAGCUCAAAUACCUGGAACAGGAAGCGGAAUAAGAAAUCAACAAUCGAAAACAAAAUAAAUCAAUCAGAUGGAGAUGGGAGAAUAGAAGACCUAUUAAAUGAACAACAGUAAACAAAGGGCUGGGUCUUUGGUUGCACUGCCGGCUUUCUACGAUGGGACAUGCAAGCCCGAGUGAGGAACCGCGGAGGGAAAAAGAGAAGGAAAACAACAGAUGGCAACGUUCUUCAUCAAAUGGAAGACACGUUAGGUCUUCGUGGAAGAAGACGAAAACGAAGACGACACCACAUCACCAACUAUCCAAAUAAACAAAGGCAAGGGCAGAACAGUCUAUUCAGGCGAGCAAUGUCAGUUUUGUAAAUAAAACGCGUUAAGGGGUAGCACCGUCCAUUCACCACAGAAAUGAACAGUGCUACUGCCUUAACGCUAUUAUAUAGAGAGUAAUGAGCUCAAGUGACCUAAUACUGCGUAAAGCGGUAGAUGGCCGGUUAGUCUAAUGGUAAUGUAUUGCAAGGUGCCUAGCGGACGUUUUGCAUUCUUAGACCAGAAGCAAGAGAAAAUGGUGUGUAUAUACGUAUGUGUUUAUGCAAAGUAACACUGUUUAGACAAACCAAUAUGACCAAAAGAAGUUAAGUUCGAUAUCAAUUAUUACCU